UACGGGGGGGGGCAAGCGUUGUUCGGAAUUACUGGGCGUAAAGGGUUCGUAGGUGGCCAACUAAGUCAGACGUGAAAUCCCUCAGCUUAACUGGGGAACUGCGUCUGAGACUGGAUGGCUUGAGGUGCAGGAGAGGAACGCGGAAUUCCAGGUGUAGCGGUGAAAUGCGUAGAUAUCUGGAGGAACACCGGUGCGAGGCAGCCCCCUGGGCCGACACUGACGCUCAGGCACGAAAGCGUGGGGAGCAAACAGG
rnacentral:rRNA from 1 species